rnacentral:rRNA from 1 species
GAUGAACGCUGGCGGCGUGCCUAAUACAUGCAAGUCGAGCGAACGGACGAGAAGCUUGCUUCUCUGAUGUUAGCGGCGGACGGGUGAGUAACACGUGGAUAACCUACCUAUAAGACUGGGAUAACUUCGGGAAACCGUAGCUAAUACCGGAUAAUAUUUUGAACCGCAUGGUUCAAAAGUGAAAGACGGUCUUGCUGUCACUUAUAGAUGGAUCCGCGCUGCAUUAGCUAGUUGGUAAGGUAACGGCUUACCAAGGCAACGAUGCAUAGCCGACCUGAGAGGGUGAUCGGCCACACUGGAACUGAGACACGGUCCAGACUCCUACGGGAGGCAGCAGUAGGGAAACUUCCGCAAUGGGCGAAAGCCUGACGGAGCAACGCCGCGUGAGUGAUGAAGGUCUUCGGAUCGUAAAACUCUGUUAUUAGGGAAGAACAUAUGUGUAAGUAACUGUGCACAUCUUGACGGGACCUAAUCAGAAAGCCACGGCUAACUACGUG